CAGUGCCCCAAGGAAGGAAGCUGAAAUGUGAAUAGGACUCUCAUCCCAUACAAGUUGGCUCUUGGUAAGUCUGUGAAGAUGAUGAAUGAUUCAGCAAGACUAGUUGAAUUUAUCUAAGGGAUUUACAAGCUGGUACAUUUUGCUGGACAAGGCUGCAGCUCACCACACACUUCUCCAUCACUGGUCUGUACAACAGGGCCCAUCCUUCAGCAACAGACUGUUCUAACCAUCUCCAGGUCUGCUCCGGAUCUUCCUGACCCUCUGAAGCCUCACGGGAAGUUGGAUCAAGGGAGUUUCACUCCUUCCUUAGGGAGAUCAACAAGAAUUUGCAGACAUAGAAGCACCACAGAUGCUGUAACAAGGACUCUGGUGUAUCACUUGUACUCCACAUCAUGACAUCAUAUGAAGCACAGAAGAACUACACGUGCCAGAGGACCUCACAGGUGGAGAGGAAAAUACGUCAUGGAAGUGACUGUCUCUCUCUCACACUGCCUGGAAGCAGUUGUGGAUGUGCUUCCAAGCUGUGAACCUUCAGUUUCAAAGUGGGCUUCUUGGUCUUUGGAAAACUCUC